CUGGUGUCAGCCGCCGCGGUAAUACCAGCACCUCGAGUGGUCAGGACGUUUAUUGGGCCUAAAGCAUCCGUAGCCGGCUCUGCAAGUCUUCGGUUAAAUCCACCUGCUCAACAGACGGGCUGCUGGAGAUACUACAGAGCUAGGGAGUGGGAGAGGCAGACGGUAUUCAGUGGGUAGGGGUAAAAUCCUCUGAUCCAUCGAGGACCACCAGUGGCGAAGGCGGUCUGCCAGAACACGUUCGACGGUGAGGGAUGAAAGCUGGGGGAGCAAACCGGAUUAGAUACCCGGGUAGUCCCAGCUGUAAACGUUGCAAACUCGGUGAUGCAUUGGCUUAUGGCCAAUGCAGUGCCGCAGGGAAGCCGUUAAGUUUGCCGCCUGGGAAGUACGGACGCAAGUCUGAAACUUAAAG
rnacentral:rRNA from 2 species